AGGAAAAUUAAUGAGUUGAACUCUUCAUAAUUGUUGUUUAACUGUCUAUAGCAAGGAACAGUAGGCAGUUUAGAAUGCAGACAUGGAAUUCAGUUAAAAGACCUAAGUUGGUAGUAUAGAUCCAGAAGUCUUUGGAAAAAUUUGCACUUUGUAAUUAUAGCCCUUGGAGAGAAUGAGAUCCCUCCAGGUACUUAGUCUCUUGAGAAUUACAUCAAACAAGCCAAUUCCUAGACAAGAAUUUUCUCAGCAUAUAUUUAGAGGUGAACAAUAAAUAUAUUUGCUAUUAAAGUA